UGGAUCCAGACUUUGAUCCUGGCUCAGGACGAACGCUGGCGGCGUGCCUAACACAUGCAAGUCGAACGAGAAGUUUCGAAACAAUCCCUUCGGGGUGCGUUUUGAAAUGGAAAGUGGCGGACGGGCGAGUAACGCGUGAGUAACCUGCCCAUAAGAGGGGGAUAAUCCAUGGAAACGUGGACUAAUACCGCAUAUUGAAUAUUAAUCGCAUGGUUGAUAUUUGAAAGAUUUAUCGCUUAUGGAUGGACUCGCGUCAGAUUAGAUAGUUGGAGAGGUAACGGCUCACCAAGUCGACGAUCUGUAGUCGAACUGAGAGGUUGAUCGGCCGCAUUGGGACUGAGACACGGCCCAGACUCCUACGGGAGGCAGCAGUGGGGAAUAUUGCGCAAUGGGGGGAACCCUGACGCAGCAACGCCGCGUGCAGGAAGAAGGUCUUCGGAUUGUAAACUGUUGUCGCAGGGGAAGAAGAAAGUGACGGUACCCUGUGAGAAAGUCACGGCUAACUACGUGCCAGCAGCCGCGGUAAUACGUAGGUGACAAGCGUUGUCCGGAUUUACUGGGUGUAAAGGGCGCGUAGGCGGGAUAGCAAGUCAGUCGUGAAAUACCGGAGCUUAACUCCGGAGCUGCGAUUGAAACUGUUAUUCUUGAGUAUCGGAGAGGAAAGCGGAAUUCCUAGUGUAGCGGUGAAAUGCGUAGAUAUUAGGAGGAACACCAGUGGCGAAGGCGGCUUUCUGGACGACAACUGACGCUGAGGCGCGAAAGUGUGGGGAGCAAACAGGAUUAGAUACCCUGGUAGUCCACACCGUAAACGAUGGAUACUAGGUGUAGGAGGUAUCGACCCCUUCUGUGCCGCAGUUAACACAAUAAGUAUCCCACCUGGGGAGUACGACCGCAAGGUUGCAACUCAAAGGAAUUGACGGA
rnacentral:rRNA from 1 species